UCUAAUGUGAAUGAGGAAAGAGUCAAUACUCCUGUCAACGAUCUGUCUAAUGGAGAGCAAACAUUUAAGCGCAACAUGACAUUACCCUCUUCUCAUAUGCAUACCCUGGUGCAAGGCGGGAAAGAUCUAAAUAUCUCGGAGAAGCAUUAUGGGAGUGUUAUCUACCUUAUUUUAGGUUUGUGGACUCCGGUGAUGAUUCUUGAGUUAGUUAGAAGGUCCAGUAUACAGGUUUUUGGUUAGAACAAUGUUCAUCGACAGUCUUGUGUGGAUCUUGUGGAUCGAUUUUUGUGAUCAUUUGUGUGUUUGAGGAUGUUUAGCUGACAUAUGGGAAGUGCAUGGACAAUUUUUUUUGGUCCGCAUGAUUGUUUUGAUUCAGAUUGAGCCGACUUGGUAUACAUGUUUCAUCAUUUGUACCGUGUUCUUGAAGCCGACAUGUAGAAGACAUAAUUUGAUGUUGCGGACAUAAAAGAGUGAUUGAUAUGA